UACAGAGGUCUCAAGCGUUGUUCGGAUUCAUUGGGCGUAAAGGGUGCGUAGGUGGCGCUGUAAGUCGGGUGUGAAAUUUCGGAGCUUAACUCCGAAACUGCAUUCGAUACUGCGGUGCUUGAGGACUGGAGAGGAGACUGGAAUUCAUGGUGUAACAGUGAAAUGCGUAGAGAUCAUGAGGAAGACCAGUGGCGAAGGCGGGUCUCUGGACAGUUCCUGACACUGAGGCACGAAGGCCAGGGGAGCAAAACGGG
rnacentral:rRNA from 1 species